UUUUCUCUCCUCCCUCUCUCUCUCUGUUUCUCACCUUCUUUUCUGCUUCCAAAGAAUCUAGCUUCAGUCCUAGGGUUUUACGAUUCUCUAUUUAACUUCCCUCUUCUUUCGAUAGCGAGCAAACCGAGCCGACACAUAUACAUUCUUUGCAUGCAAGAGAGUGAUAAUACAUAUAAGAUUAAAGGAAAUAAACUCAUCUGUUAUCCGUUCCAGAUUCAACCCUGAAUGUAUCUCCAUCACCGAUUUUUCUAGAUCCAGUUUUUUUUUUUCUAGAUUCAGUUCUUUCUAGACUAGGUUCUUUUGAAACCCUAAUUUACAUUAUUGUGUCCGUACUUAGAUUUGUAGUUUCCUUUUAUGGAUCCAUUGAUCGAGGUCAUGUUUAGUUGUUAUUAUUCCUAGAUUUGAUUUUGAUUUCAAGUACCGUCUAUCUGUACUUGUGUCUUCUUUUUUUCUGUUUAACUCUCUUUUAUCAUCGGUUUCUGGGCUAUAAUUACCUGAAUAUAAAUGAAUAUACAUAUAUGUUUUUCUUCAAUGUAUUACAUGCUCAAAUAUGGUCACAAAAUAAAUAUAUGUUGAUGUGGGAAAAGAAGUUGACAGAAGAGAGCGAGCACACAAAGGGAGAAUUGUAUAAAAUUAAUUUGUAUAUGGUUUACUUUUGCGUGCUCAUUCUCGUUCUGUCAUAACUUCUCCUUCAUGAAUCUUGGUGAUUUUGUUAGCUGAUGUAUGUAUACCAAGUUAUGUAUACAUGUGUUGCAUGCAUAUCUACCUAUUUUUCUUUGAUUGGCAUAUGAUAUAGGUUCUAGACUUCCAAGAUGAUCUUGUCUUAUAAUAUCUUUACACAUGACAUAUAUGUGAAUGUGUGUAUACACACAAUAUCUGUUAGACCUGUCAUAAGAUCUAAUGUCUUCUUCUAUUUGGGUUACGUUUCGUUGACCAAUUUUGCUUGUUAGACUCGUUGGAGUAUGAUGUUUAUAUUCUAAAUCUAUUGUCACUGGAACAAACACGUUUUGUUUUUGCAGACGAUCUAGCUCACAACUAUAUUGAAUGGCCCCCAACUAUAAAAGGUUAGUCAACUUUUUAUAGAAUACACUUGAAUCCAUGUAAUAAGAUUAGAUUGGGUUUUAUCAAUGGUUUAAUGGCGACAAUCAGCAAAAUUUGGGAGUUGAUGAGUUCAAUCAGAGGAAUUGUAGUUUAUGUGUUGGUUAAGUGACUAUUGUGAUCUAAGGUCUUUUGAUUAGCUGUGCACAAUCAACUAUCCUACCAUCAAAUGUUAGUUGAGGUUUUACUAGAUUUGUUAUAUAAAUAUUAGAUUAGUCGAAUGAGUGGAUAGAGUAUAAUAGUAAGAAAUGUCUAUUGCGUUUUGGCUAAGUAGAUUUUUCGUAGUUAUGUUUUAGCAAAUCCGCGUAGUAUAUGGCGGACUCGCGUCUUUAAGAGUGGAAAAAAUGGUACACACAUUCAUUACGCUGGUUAAUACUACUAUGGAACAAGAUUGCAUAAAACAUCUUUAAGUUAUCUCUCUAUGCAUAUAUGUGCUAUGUAUUAGAUAUAUAUUUGGUGCCUUUGAAUGGUUAUGUAGUUGAUGAGUUGAUAUCACAAAUGUGUACAAAAGACAUGCAUGUAUAUGUUGUUCAGAUGACCAAAAAAUAGAGCACAGAACAUUGUGGAUUUUAGAAUAUGACUUGGAUGAGUUCUGUGGUCUUGUACAAUUGUGAUAUACAGCCUAUAUAUUGCAUACAAAACAUAUGUUGUGUUACUCCUGCGUCAAGUUGCCUCUCUCUUACGUAGUAGCCUAUUCAAUGUCAGGAUGAAAUUCAGCAGAUUUUGGAGUUGUUGAUUCUUCGAUCAGUAGGAUAUUAUUCUGUAUCCAAAUUCUUUGGCAACUAGUGAUAUACCAAGACUGUGUUUGUUUCUUCAGUUUCAUUACAAGGGUGGAUGGACUUCCACGACGAUGAUUCUAUGAAAAUAGACUACUAUUUGAUUAAAUUUGGUUUGCUGAUGUUUAUUAAACUGCCAAAAGAAGGAGAAUGUGUUGUGAACACAUGAUACGCAGACUCAGCACAUGCAGGAGGACUGGCCGUAGGGUAUGUAGAACCCACUAGAAAAUGGAAAGAUAUAAGGUCGAGUUUUGUGAAAAAACAGCUAAAAUACUCCGACUAUAUUCGACUUUUGAAGAAUUUUAAAAUUCUCUAUUUCGGAAUAAAAUGCAGAACUAAUAAUA